GAGACAGGGUUUCUCCAUGUUGGCCAGGCUGGUCUUGAACUCCUGAUCUCCAGGGAGCCACCCACCUUGGCCUCCCAAGUGCGAGGAUCACCAGUGUGAGCCGCUGGUGUCCGGCUGAAGAUAAGUCCCUCAAAGUCUUACAGCAAUACAGGAUUAAGCCAGGAAUUGAACCCGGGCAGUAGGAUCUCUGAUCCUGCAUUUCUAACCACAACACAGAUCACUAUUCAUUGCAGAGAUGUUACAUUCACCUUGGAAAAAUGGAGAAAAGAAGAAAAACGACACUCAGAGAUUAUUCACCCAAAUAAAAUUCAUAUUCACAUUUACUCUGAUCUGUUUCCUACAGUGAUUUUCUUUUCAGAACUCCAGAUGUAGAAACAGAACCCUGUAACUGAUGUAGUUGCCUAGUUUAUGAACAGAUUCACAAUAGGUAAGGAAUUCAGUCACUGUCGGUUACACAGCAAAUAAUAAACUCACCUGAAAAAGGGACUGUUCUGAAAAAUCCAGAACUUGCUCUGUCACUAAGUGGAGGAGGGGACUGAGUGGUGCAUUUGCUCAUAGCUCUCUCCCUAGGGCCAGUUCCAGCAGGAACCUCAAACUGGGGACAGUGGAUGAGCCAGCCAGUCAUCAGACCUUUGGGAGCUGGGAUGGCAGCUGGAUGCCAGUGGCCAAUCCUCUUUCAGCCCCUGACAGCCAGCUGACCCUGCCCUGCUCCCAAAAGACAAAGAGUGCUCAGUGACACAAUCACCAACCACCACCACCUCCUGUUUUGGGUUGACUAAGAACCACAGGGCUGCUGUGUGGCUAAAUACAACACAGUCAUAUUUUGAGUCCUUACCAAGAAAAAAAUACUUGUUAUACCUGAGCAGCACUGUGUUUAUAAUUGAAUCACUAUUCAGGUGGUGGUGGCAGCUAGAGAAAUUGAUUUACAAACUGUCUAGUUGGGUCUAGGGAUUUGUUUUUAUUAAUUAUGAAGAAAACAAAAAUCUUAAUAUCACUCUUAGAGUCUUACGGAUGUUACUAUUUUUUAAAUGGGUUUAAGGAAAACUGACUGAAAAGCGUGAGUUGCAAAUAGCAUUCUGAGAAAGGUGCUAAGCAAUACAUAUUUCAUACCACUCCUGAACGUGGUCAGAUAUAAAUAGCAGCACAAACAUUUAAGAGCUAUUCUUGCUGGGGAAAAAAAAAAGUAAUUAAUUGGUGUUACACACAAAGGACUUCUCUAUUUAUUUAUUUAUUUUUUUUGGUAACCAGCACAGCUUUAAUUACAAGUAAUUGUUCUCAAAAUCAGGCUGCUCGUAAGUUCUGCAUUCUAGACAGUGAUUAUGCAUCAAUACCCUAAUCUAUCACUUUCAUUAUUUUAGUCAUUUGGGUGUGUAAAUUUGUAUUUAAUUCAGACAACAAACUCUGCAGUUCCCACUGUUACUUUCUAUGAACAUAUGCCUUUUUAAGGCACAAUAGCGUUGGAUGAUUUAGAUUUACAUUCAUUUACUUUUACUUAGGAAAAUAAUGGUACAUUAUUGUGGGUUUUGCUGACUUCUAGGUAAAUACAGUGGCAUUAGAUGUACAAGGAGCCAGGUUUGUCCCUAGUUAAUCAGGAAUUUUAGUAGGUGUCUCUAUAGAACUGCAUUUGUUACUGCGUCGUAAUGAGCUGGAGUUUGCAGAAAUUCCCCUGCAGAAAUCUCCUAGUAAAGUAAUAGGGGCCUAUUCUUUACCUCAUUCAGAAUUUGUAUAUUUCUUCUCUCCCAGGUUAGGCACUAGAAAUGUCGCCUGGAUUACUGAACUCCAGUACGCUGUUUACUCUCUACCCGGGCUUGGUAUGUCUGAGUAAAUUUCAAAACAAAACUCAAAAGCCUUGCCAGGACAUCUGAUGGGAAUACAUUAGCUCCACCUUGUCCUUGUGGAUGACACCACCAUUUUGUUUCUGAUCUCUUAACGCAGGGAAGAAACUCAAUACAGCUCCAGCACUGAAUGUAGGCCUCAAAUUGGAACCAUCUGGGCCGCACAAGGGCUCAGAGACCUUUGGGGAAGGCAGAGACAGUCUUGCCUAGGGCCGCAGCCCAUACACCUGCAGAGAUGGCCGACGUCUGGGCAGGCCCUGGGCUCACCCAGGAACUGGAGCCGCUCCCACGGUGGCAAAGCCCCCAACGCCUGGCAUUGCAGUUGGGAAUACCACGUAAGAAAAGGUGACAACUGCUCAGAGGACGACUUCCUCCAUGAAUACUCCUUAUAGUGAAAGGAAAACCCCAUGAUUCUUUGGAACAUAUUUGACACAAAUCAGACAUCAUUUCCUAAUUUUUGCUUUUCAGCAGACUGGCAAGAAAGUCCUCAGGAAACCAUAGGUGGGUAUACACAAUAUUUUUAGAGUUAUCCUUAACUAGGGAAAGAAAAAGGCUUUUACAACGCAAUGCAUGCCUGUUCGGUAUUCUCCGUAUUCUUUUUUUUGUUUAAAGGGUUGUUAUGAUUAUUAUUGACUAGUUUUCCUUUUUAACUAAGUGAAAGUGCUUUUCAAGUGUUUUCUAAUAUCUAAACAUAGAAGACUAGGCCAGCUGUUGGAAAGUUAUUUUAAAUAAAGUAUUUUUAAAAAUUUUAUAUUGCGAACUUCCCAUGGGUGAGGGAUAAGAGUAUCAACCCAUUUCCAAACAUAAAGGAUGAGGACUUUUGUCCAAAGAUUAGAAAUCUUGUCAUGUGAUUUUAAAACCAGUGCAGAAUAUGUUUUCUGGAAAGAAAAUAGGACAUAAAGAACAGAUAGAAAUUGUACAAAAGUUGUGCAUUUAAUAAAUAUAUUUUCCAAAUA